UACGUAGGGUGCGAGCGUUAAUCGGAAUUACUGGGCGUAAAGCGUGCGCAGGCGGUUGGUUAAGUCUGAUGUGAAAGCCCCGGGCUCAACUUGGGAAUGGCAUUGGAAACUGGCUGGCUAGAGUGUGGCAGAGGGGGGUGGAAUUCCGCGUGUAGCAGUGAAAUGCGUAGAGAUGCGGAGGAACACCAGCGGCGAAGGCGGCAUCCUGGACUGGUCCUGACACUCAGGAGCGAAAGCGUGGGGAGCGAUCCGG
rnacentral:rRNA from 1 species